rnacentral:sRNA from 6 species
UUUUCUGGUUGCAGCCUAAGUCAUUAGGCUGAUGGCUGGUGACUUUUUAGUCACCAGCCU